rnacentral:rRNA from 1 species
GGAGAGGGCUAGCGUUAUUCGGAAUUAUUGGGCGUAAAGGGCGCGUAGGCGGAUUAGUAAGUUAAAAGUGAAAUCCCAAGGCUCAACCUUGGAAUUGCUUUUAAAACUGCUAAUCUAGAGAUUGAAAGAGGAUAGAGGAAUUCCUAGUGUAGAGGUGAAAUUCGUAAAUAUUAGGAGGAACACCAGUGGCGAAGGCGUCUAUCUGGUUCAAAUCUGACGCUGAGGCGCGAAGGCGUGGGGAGCAAACAGGAUUAGAUACCCUGGUAGUCCACGCUGUAAACGAUGAAUGUUAAAUAUGGGGAGUUUACUUUCUGUAUUACAGCUAACGCGUUAAACAUUCCGCCUGGGGACUACGGUCGCAAGAUUAAAACUCAAAGGAAUUGACGGGGACCCGCACAAGCAGUGGAGCAUGUGGUUUAAUUCGAUGCAACGCGAAAAACCUUACCACUCCUUGACAUGGAAAUUAUACCUAUUCGAAGGGAUAGGGUCGGUUCGGCCGGGUUUCACACAGGUGU